GACAGAGGUCCCGAGCGUUAGGCGGAAUCACUGGGCUUAAAGCGUGUGUAGGCGGAUGCCUAAGUACCUUGUGAAAUCCCACGGCUUAACCGUGGAACUGCUUGGUAUACUGGGUGUCUUGAGCUACCUAGGGGCGAGCGGAACAAACGGUGGAGCGGUGAAAUGCGCAGAUAUCAGGAAGAACACCCGUGGCUAAGGCGGCUCUCUAGUACGGUACUGACGCUGAGACGCGAAGCGUGGGGGAGCGAACAGG
rnacentral:rRNA from 1 species